AAGACUGCUGCUUUGUCCGGCCCACUGACAUCUCUCUGCCUCACCCAGGGGGGUGGUGUCGCUCCAGGACCUUGCUUCAGAGGAAAUUAUUCGCCAUCUGAGUCUUGUUUGAAGAUGAUUCCCAAAGUACCAGUCUCUCUUGUAUCAGGCAUGUAAACUGACCUUGCCCCUCAGAUAUACCCAUCCCUGACUCUGAACUGGAAGUGAGUGACUUGGAGCGGCACUGAAGGUUCCACACUCAUCAUGGGUCAGCAGCUGCAACAGCGGUUUUUUGGAGCAGCAAUGGCUCUACCUAGUUAGAAACAUGACCCCGUUCUCUUUACUGCUGUACCUGUACAUUUUGCAGACAGAAGACCUUCCUUGUACCAGCUAUGCAAAACCAUAAUAGUACCUGCAUCCAGCAAACGCACUCUCCUCUAUAGAGGGUUUUCAGGACUAAGAGGCAGCCAGUAACUAACAACAUCUUUAUCAUUCCUCAAACAUGCUUCAU